UCACUACUUGCGUAGGCAGUCUGGCUAGAGUCCCCGACAUUACUCGCUGGCAACAUAAGACAGGGGUUGCGCUCGUUGCGGGACUUAACCCAACACCUCACGGCACGAGCUGACGACAACCAUGCACCACCUGUAUACGGCCCCGAAGGACACCAUAUCUCUAUGGCUUUUCCCUACAUGUCAAGCCUUGGUAAGGUUCUUCGCGUUGCAUCGAAUUAAGCAACAUGCUCCGCCGCUUGUGCGGGCCCUCGUCAAUUCCUUUGAGUUUUAGCCUUGCGGCCGUACUUCCCAGGCGGGGCACUUAAUGCGUUAGCUACGGCACGGAACCCGUCGAUCGAGCCCCACACCUAGUGCCCAACGUUUACGGCGUGGACUAC
rnacentral:misc_RNA from 1 species